UUGUCAGGUAGAGGAGGAGGCCCAGUGUUGUCAGGUAGAGGAGGAGACCCAGUGUUAUCAGGUAGAGGAGGAGACCCAGUAAAUGUCUGCUAAUAUGGGUGAUUGUUAAUGGGACAAUUGAUGGAUAGAACCAUCAAACUACUUCUAGUAGUAGUAGUAGUAGUAGUAGUAGUAGUAGUAGUGUAGUAGUAGUAGUGGUAGUAGUUCAAAUGAUAAUUUAAAAAAUAAUAUGGUGAACAUUGGUUAUAAACUUAAUGUUCUAUUUAUUGUUAUCGCAUCAAUUCAGGCAAUUUAUCGCCCAGCUCGAACUGAUACUGUAUACUGCUUGUUGGGGUUGUAAUGAGGGGUCCAUGGGUGACUUUUAACAACAACAACAACAACAAAUUGUGUGGGGGGGUUCCUCAUGACUCACUCAUUGGUAGGAAGUAGUUUGGUCCAAAUCGGAUGUUGGGUACUAUAUUCAUUGAAUACUAUCUGAAUCCUAUAAUUUCAAAAUGGCCAAUUUGGGUGCAAUCAGUUCCUAGACUAAUCAUUUCUCAGUGAUCAAAUUAUAUUUAAACAAAAUAAUGUUUCAGGAAUUAUAAAUCAUAUCGGUAACUAACCACAGAAACCAUUUCAAAACAAAUCAGACGGUGGGAGACAAAAUCCUAUUUUUUGUGCUUUUUGAAGUGGAAUGACCCCAGUGGAACAUAAAUGCCCCAAACAGGUAGGCCGAAUACCCCUGGUAAAGUCAAAGUCAAUGACAGACUAUUCAAAUUGCAGGUGAGUGUAAGUGAUGAAGCAUGACACUGUCAGAUACAGAGUUGCUUGGCUGCCCUUGAAAGCGGUCUGGUCCUGGUCAUGGUCAUGGUCCUGGUCAUGGUCCUGGUCCUGGUCCUGGUCAUGCCCUGACUCUGAUAUGGGUCUCAGUUCUUCUUGCCCAGUUCCACCCCUCCAGUUCCUGUCUUUUCUCUGCUCCAUUCUAGUUCCACCCCUCCAGUUCCUGUCUUUUCUCUGCUCCAUUCUAGUUCCACCCCUCCAGUUCCUGUCUUUUCUCUGCUCCAUUCCUGCUCCUGUCUUUUCUCAAUUCCAUUCCAGUUCCUGUCUUUUCUCCAUUCCAUUCCAGUUCCUGUCUUUUCUCCAUUCCAUUCCUGCUCCUGUCUUUUCUCCAUUCCAUUCCAGUUCCUGUCUUUUCUCUGCUCCAUUCCAUUCCAGCUCCUGUCUUUUCUCUGCUCCAUUCCAUUCCAGCUCCUGUCUUUUCUCUGCUCCAUUCCAUUCCAGUUCCUGUCUUUUCUCUGCUCCAUUCCAUUCCAGCUCCUGUCUUUUCUCUGCUCCAUUCCAUUCCAGCUCCUGUCUUUUCUCUGCUCCAUUCCAGUUUCUGUCUUUUCUCUGCUCCAUUCCAGUUCCACCCCUCCAGUUCCUGUAUUUUCUGUGCUCCAUUCCAAUGUACAGACAUUGCAAUUUAUUGCUCUAGCCACAUCUGCAGUCCAGAUGCCUCCUUGCAGCAUGCCUAAGGCACGUUCAUACAGAUGAGUAGGAACCCUGGGCAUCUUUCUUUUGGUGUUUUUCCAGAGUCAGUAGAAAGGCCUCUUUAGUGUCCUAAGUUUUCAUAACUGUGACCUUAAUUGCCUACCGUCUGUAAGCUGUUAGUGUCUCAACGACCGUUCCACAAGUGCAUGUUCAUUAAUUGUUUAUGGUUCAUUGAACAAGCAUGAGAAACAGUGUUUAAACCCUUUACAAUGAAGAUCUGUGAAGUUAUUUGGAUUUUUACAAUUUAUCUUUGAAAGAUCCUGAAAAGUUUAGUUGUGUUAGUUGUAUUACAUUAUGCAAAUGAACCAAUAUACUGAAAUAUGACAGUCAAUUGUAUUUACAUUGACUGGUAUUUACAUCAGUGAAUAAAACCAUUUUGCACUGGGAUUUUUUCUUCUUCAGGUCAGCUUCUAUCAGUUUUAACAGCUUUUCAUUAUCAGCCAAAAGCCGGCAAUUGCUGGCUAAUAGAAACCCUGCUGUGGAUUAGCAUGGAGGUGAUGAGUGACCGCCAGCACGUUAGACGACCCAUUAGAGUACAUGUUGACAAAAUUGGUGUGGGGUUUUACAUUUUUUGCCCUCGCAUGCUGCAGAGGCCGAGGGUGAGCCAGACAAUAGUCAGCAUAGGAGACCCCAACCACCCUAUAAGCAAUAUCCUCUCCAAGAAACAGACUGGUACAAGGCCCAUCCGCAUUCUUAUGUUAACGUACUCCGAUCAAAUCCUAAUUCAUCUGCUAAUCUUAUUCAGAUUAUUGUAUAACCUCUAAACCCCUGGCCUUGGCACUCAAGGAGCUCGUUUUUAAAACAGACAUAUUCAGUUGUUGGAAAAUGACUGAUCUCUUUUUGUUUUAAUUCAGUUUCCAUUUUUCACAUCUGUUUGUAGUAUGUUUAGUUCUCCUCACCUCUAAAUGAGCUGCACUAGGCAGAGCCUCACUGUCAUCUGAGAGAAAGCUAAAAUGAGGAAAUCCUCCACAUCCACACACAAUUCUAAAUGAAAGGAAACAGAUGGGUGGAGCGGAUGGGUGGAACUCCCAGGGAAAAUGUUACCAAAAAAUAUAGCUGCAAGCAGCAAUGAACGGGGUUCACAGGAUGACACAAAGGACAAGACAAGUUGGAUAACAAAGCAAGCACACCAUGUAGGAACAAUGUUAAUAUUUAUUUGCAAUCAGUGAACGCAUUACCAUGUUUAUCUCUCAAUAACACUAGUGCUGUAGGUAGCGUUUCACAGUAUACAACAUUAGUAUCUUAAAAUAUUGAGAACAUGUAACACAGUUCUGGGUAAAUUCUAUUUGAUAUUAAGAGAAUGGUCUCUUGGGAAACACAGGAACAUUGAUAUAAAAAUGUUAGUUAACCUCACUAGCAUCCCACCUGGCCAAUAUCCUGUGAAAUUGCAGAGCACUAAAUAAAAAAAAACAGAAAUACUAAUUAUAAAAAAUACAAGUGUUAUACAUUGGUUUAAAGGUGAACUUCUUGUUAAUCCAACCACAGUGUCAGAUUUCAAAAAGGCUUUACGGCGAAAGCAUACCAUGAGAUUAUCUGAGAACAGCGCCCAGCAGACAAAUCAUUUCAGACAGUUAGCAGCCAAGUAGAGGAGUAACAAAGUCAGAAAUAGCGAUAAAAUUAAGCACUUACAUUUGAUGAUCUUCAUAUGGUUGCACUCACAAGACUCCCAUUUACUCAAUAAAUGUUCCUUUUGUUCAAUAAAGUCCAUGUUUAUAUCCAAAGACCCCCGUUUUGUUCAGUAAUCCAGAGGCUCAAACGCAGUCACAACAGGCAGACGAAAAAUCCAAAUAGUAUCCGUAAAGUUCGUAGAAACAUUUGAAACGAUGUUUAUAAUCAAUCCUCAGGUUGUUUUUAGUCAUAAUAAUCAAUAUUUCAACCGGACAAUAACAUCGUCAAUAUAAAAGGUUAACAAAAAAGACAUGAAAAAGCUCUGGGACACUGCAAUGUCCACUCAUUCCGAGUGGUCUUACUCCCUUAUUUUUCAGAAUACAAGCCUGAAACCAUUUCUAAAGACUGUUGACAUCUAGUGGAAGCCAUAGGAUGUGCAAUUUGAGUUCUAAGUCAAUGGAUACUGUAAUGGCAUUCAAUAGAAAACUACAAACAUAAAAAAAUCCCCCUUCCUGGAUGGAUUUUUCUCAGGUUUUCACCUCCCCUAGAUCUGUGCCUCGACACAAUCCUGUCUCGCAGCUCUACUGACAAUUCCUCCGACCUCAUGAUUUGAUUUUUGCUCUCUCAACUGUGGGACCUUAUUUAGACAGGUGUACGUACGCCUUUCCGAAUCAUGUCCAAUCAAUUGAAUUUACCACAGGUGGACUCCAAGUUGUAGAAACAUCUCAAGGAUGAUCAAGGGAAAGAGCACCUGAGCUCAAUUUCAAGUCGCAUAGCAAAGGCUCUGAAUACUUAUGUAAAUAAGGUUUUAAUUUUUAAUAAAUGUGCCAUUUCUAGAAACCUGUUUUCGCUUUGUCAUUAUGGGGUAUUAUGUGUAGAUUGUCGAGGGAAAAUGCAUUGUAUAUACAGCAGUCACGAUAACAGAUUACCUCCCAAGAGUUAAGGGUCGGCAUUUGACCAUCAGCUUUAAUAAGUCCAGUUGGAAGGGCAAACAAUAGGUCAAGUUGGAGACUUUUGUUUAAUGUUAGAAUCACCUUUGUUAGAAUCUGCAACUGGAUCCUUGACCUCCUGACGGGCCACCCCAGGUGGUGAGGGUAGGCAACAACACAUCUGCUACGCUGACCCUCAGAACAGGGGCCCCUCAGGGGUGCGUGCUUAGUCCCCUCCUGAACGCCCUGUUCAACCACAACUGCGUGGCCACGCAUGACUUCAACACCAUCAUUACGUUUGCAGACGACACGAGAGUGGUAGGCCUGAUCACCGAUGACGAUGAGACAGCCUAUAAGGAGGAUGUCAAAGACCUGGCAGUGUGUUGUCAGGACAACAAGGUCUCCCUCAACAAGCCAAAGGAGUUGAUUGAGGACUAUAGAAUAAUAACGAACAGCAACAAAUACAAUAGGGUUUUACCAGCUUCGCUGCUUGAUCACCUAGUAACGAACGGCAACAAGGUUUCACCAGCUUCGCUGCUUGAUCACCUAGUAACGAACGGCAACAAGGUUUCACCAGCUUCGCUGCUUGAACACCCAAUAACGAACAGCAACAAGGUUUCACCAGCUUCGCUGCUGGAACACCUAGUAACGAACAGCAACAAGGUUUCACCAGCUUCGCUGCUUGAACACCUGAUAACGAACAGCAACAAGGUUUCACCAGCUUCGCUGCUUGAACACCUGAUAACGAACAGCAACAAAUACAAUAGGAUUUUAUCCAGCAUUGCUGCUCAACCCCUUUUAAUAAUAAUUCAGAACAGGCCUCCCGGGUGGCGCAGUGGAUGCUGUACUGCAGCGCCAGCUGUGCCAUCAGAGUCCCUGGGUUCGCGCCCAGGCUCUGUCGUAACCGGCCGCGACCGGGAGGUCCGUGGGGCGACGCACAAUUGGCCUAGCGUCGUCCGGGUUAGGGAGGGCUUGGUCGGUAGGGAUGUCCUUGUCUCAUCGUGCACCAGCGGACUCCUGCGGCGGGCCGGGCGCAGUGCGCGCUAGCCAAGGUUGCCAGGUGCACGGUGUAGCCUCCGACACAUUGGUGCGGCUGGCUUCCAGGUUGGAUGCGCGCUGUGUUAAGAAGCAGUGUGGCUGGUUGGGUUGUGUAUCGGAGGACGCAUGACAUUCAGCCUUCGUCUCUCCCGAGCCCGUACGGGAGUUGUAGCAAUGAGACAAGAUAGUAGCUACUACAACAAUUGGAUACCACGAAAAAAGGGGGUACAAAUUCAACAAAAAAAAUUAAAAUAAUAAUAAUAAUAAUUCAGAACAAUAGACUGCAGUUCAUUUAGGGAGAUUAAAUAGUUUAAUUACUGUCCAUUAUUUCCCAGUUGUCCCAAUAAGGAAAAUACAACUUGGUAUGAGUGUGCUCAAAACAAUGGCAUAGGCCCAGUCCCCUUGACACCAGUUUCCUGCAGAGGAGAAAUUUUAGAGAAUACUUGAGUAAACCCACACUUUCCAGGGUUCAGGCUUCAGCGACAUGGCCUAGGCUACUGUGUGUAUGCUUGCAAGUGUAAUGCAACGCUUGCUGACAGAGGAAAACAACGUUCUCUUGUUGACUGUGUGAGUGGUGGCCUGCUUCAGUAUCUUUUUAGCAUCAAUGCUAACAGCUAUUUGAGGAAUGUGAGCCAACCAUAUUAUUUCCAGAGAAAGGAGCAGGAGCAACUAGUUCUAUUAUCUUUCUUUAAAGACAUAGCCUGCAAGUUAAGGUUUAUCUUGUCAAUAUGAAUGCAUUUGAACUACUGUCUGUGGCUCGCUAGCUUUGGACCAGUAACGUACAAUGCUUUUUAAAAAUGUUUUUACUUAGCUAUUUAAUGGAAUAAAUAAAAUCACACCCAAUCAUCAUGAUCAGUUUAGGAUUGAUGGUGCGGUAGAAGCAUCUGAAAACACCCCAAUAUCAAGAGACAUCACAGUGUCACAGUGAUGUCCAAUGUCCAAUCUCAGGGACAGAUAACCCCAGCCACGACGACUCAGAAGAGGAUGUGUUUUUUUUUUUUUUUUAUGAUAAUUUUUUUUGAGCAGUGUUGUACCUUUUACCUCGGCUUUGUACCUGCUUCGUCCGAAUAAAAAUUUAAACUAGCUAACCAAGCCAUAUCAGGCCACACAAUUGGUUAACUCAACAACUUUCAACACAACACCGGGAACUUUCAAUAGA
rnacentral:lncRNA from 13 species